rnacentral:rRNA from 1 species
GAACAUCGACAUUUCGAACGCACAUAGCGGNCCUCGGAUACUGUUCCCGGACCACUCCUGGCUGAGGGUCGUAU